rnacentral:rRNA from 1 species
AUUGAACGCUGGCGGCGUGCUUAACACAUGCAAGUCGAGCGGCAGCGCGGGAGCAAUCCUGGCGGCGAGCGGCGAACGGGUGAGUAAUGCUUCGGAAUCUGCCCUUCAGUGGGGAAUAACCAGUCGAAAGACUGGCUAAUACCGCAUACGAACUGAGGUUGAAAGCAGGGGAUCGCAAGACCUUGCGCUGAUUGAGCGGCCGAUAUCAGAUUAGCUAGUUGGUGAGGUAAAGGCUCACCAAGGCGACGAUCUGUAGCGGGUCUGAGAGGAUGAUCCGCCACACUGGAACUGAGACACGGUCCAGACUCCUACGGGAGGCAGCAGUGGGGAAUUUUGGACAAUGGGGGCAACCCUGAUCCAGCCAUGCCGCGUGAGUGAAGAAGGCC